rnacentral:rRNA from 1 species
CUACGGGCGGCUGCAGUGAGGAAUAUUGCACAAUGGGGGGAACCCUGAUGCAGCAACGCCGCGUGGAGGAUGACGCAUUUCGGUGUGUAAACUCCUUUUAUAUGUCAAGAAAAUGACGGUAGCAUAUGAAUAAGCACCGGCUAACUCCGUGCCAGCAGCCGCGGUAAUACGGAGGGUGCAAGCGUUACUCGGAAUCACUGGGCGUAAAGGACGCGUAGGCGGGUUGGAAAGUCAGGUGUGAAAUCCUACAGCUUAACUGUCGAACCGCACUUGAAACUUCUAAUCUAGAGUAUGGGAGGGGGAGAUGGAAUUAGUGGUGUAGGGGUAAAAUCCGUAGAUAUCACUAGGAAUACCUAAAGCGAAGGCGAUCUCCUGGAACAUUACUGACGCUAAGGCGUGAAAGCGUGGGGAGCAAACAGGAUUAGAUACCCCCGUAGUC